AUACCGCAUACGUCCUACGGGAGAAAGCAGGGGACCUUCGGGCCUUGCGCUAUCAGAUGAGCCUAGGUCGGAUUAGCUAGUUGGUGAGGUAAUGGCUCACCAAGGCGACGAUCCGUAACUGGUCUGAGAGGAUGAUCAGUCACACUGGAAGGUGAGACACGGUCCAGACCCGUACGGGAGGCAGCAGUGGGGAAUAUUGGACAAUGGGCGAAAGCCUGAUCCAAAAGUGCCGCGUGUGUGAAGAAGGUCUUCGGA
rnacentral:rRNA from 1 species